AGAAGAAUCACACUUGUUUGGUACUGAGCCACAUGAUAUGUCGCAACUCCCCCUGUGAGCAGGGACCAGGCAGGAGAAGAAAGUCACAUCAUGUGGGUGAGAUGGAGUCUCACAAUGUCGCCUGGGCUGGAGUGCAGUGGUGCGACCUUGGCUCACUGCAACUUCUGCUUCCCGAGUUCAAGCGAUUCUCCUGCCUCAGCCCCCGGAGUAGCUGAAAUUACAGGCGCCUGUGAGGGAUCAGUCAGAAUGGAACUGACCUUUGAUCAUCCACGGGAGUGACGAUCCCUGAAAGGAGAACAAUAAAUGUUAAUUACCUGCAGGUUGUGUUUGCUCCAGGUUUUUGGCAUUGUGCCUGCACUGAAAGAAAGCAAGCAGCUCCAGCUUCUUG
rnacentral:lncRNA from 1 species